rnacentral:lncRNA from 1 species
AUUUAAGAACUUAGAAUUUAGAAGAAGGCUUACACGAGUAAAAGGAAAAGAAAGCAGAGAAGGUAUUGGCAGAAACCCUUCGCUCAAUAAGAAUCAGAAAAGUUUGUUGGUGCAGUUUUGGUACCGAAAACUCAUACCCAACUGGAAUUUUUUUAUAUAUAUAUUCUUGCGUCUCAACGAUAAGCUCCAGGUAAUUACAUGUAUUCUUCCUUCUUUAUAAACAAUAUUAUUUUAUAUACACAAUUUUAUGGGACCGAGUAUAUAUGAGGUGGAGAUUGAAUUAAGAGUUUAAAAGAUAAAGUUAAGGAAAUUGGAAGAAAUCCGUGAGACUUUUUCCAUGAAUUAACUGGGUAUAUUAUAUGAACAUGUUGUACUUAACAGAUUUUGAAUUGGUUUAAAUUACCAGUAGCGCGAGUAAGUAUAAAUUGACGAAUUAAGAGUCAAACAUGAAACCCAAGGAUUGGGUAUUCAAAAUUAGCUAUGGAUCAGCUUAAACAAGGAAAACUAACACAAGAUCGAUAUUGAUGUGGUUAUAGAUUGAUUAAAGAAGUCGUAUGAAUCGCUCGUGGUGACGAGUUUGAUAUUUCGACACAAGUACUGUGAGUAGUAACCUUAUCGCAAUUUUGUAUUUCUAUAACUAGCAUGAUUUACAUAUGACUAGUUUCCUGAAGAUAAAAAAGAAAUAGCCGGUUGAUGUUUCGAAUUUUCUAAUGUUUUGUACUCAAUUGAAAACUGAAGUUGUUACUAUCUUGUCAAUUAGUAGUUGCUAGAUCUUUAAUUUGUAAUGUCUAUAUUUAGUUGAGUCUCAAACUUGUAGUAUCAGCUUUAGGGUUUACUAAAGUUGUUCUUUUCUUGCUUCAUUAAAAAAGAGACAGUGAAGAGCAGCUUGGGUGUGAUUCCCCAUAGGUCUUACAGUGUUUGCCACUUUUGUUCUAGGGUUUGGUAUACACUGCAUUUUUAAGAAACAGAGAAAGAGUAAAUUCACGAGACUCAUCUUGAAGUAUGUUUAUAUGGUCAAUUUAGUUAUUAAUCUUGGGGUGACAUUAAGGGGUCAAUUUCCACAUGAUACUUCUGUUAUUAGGGGUAUUUGCAUUUUGACAACUGUAAGUUCCUUCAUUGCUUUACUUUGUCUUAUAGGGGAUGUAAUUAAUCAAACCAGAAAGAAGAUUGCUUUGCAAAGGCAUAGAGGUGGUGCUCUUUGUUUAAUUUAUUGUUGGGUUUGUUCUAAGAGUAUAGUCAUGCUAAUUGAGGGGAAAGAUUUGAUUGUUAUUGUGACUGCUUUUAUAUAAUUUUUGUUCCGCUUAGCUGAGACAUUGUUGAGGUACGUGGGUAAUUCUUUCUUGCCAUUGUGCAUCUCUAAGAAUGAUUUCUCAAUCUUUCCGUUGAUUUUUUGUCUUACUACCUGGGUAAGCCGGGUGUUGGAUAACAGAUCACAGAGAUGAAAUCUGCUUAGUGUGCUUAUCGUUGGUAGAGCUCCUACACCUCAUCAAGUAGUUAAAAUUGGAGCUCCAAUUGCUGAACCACCACAAGAUGGUGUUGGAGCUGGUAAUGCUCACGUUCUAAUACCAAUGCCACCGCAAGGUGGUGGUGAAGCUCCAAUCGUUGAACCAUCACAAGGUGGUGAUGCUGGUAAUACACAAGUUUCAAUACCGAUACUUCCACAAGAUGGUGUUGGGGCUCCAAUACCCGACCCACCUCAAGCUGGUGCUGGAGUAGUUGAGAAUCCAAAAAAAAUACAUUUCCCAUAAUAUUAAUUUUUUCUGUGAUUUCACUUGUAUUGGGUAUAUUAUUCCACUUUUGUCCUUCACUGGAUAUGUUUCAGUUGAGCAAAAUAAUUGAGACGCAC